UAUUGGUGUUCGAAUUUUGAAAUGAGUCAACCCUGAACCAAGUGUUGUAGGUUUUCUCUGGGUACUACGGUUUACUCACACGGGAAGAAAAAUCUGUUUGAAAAAGGUGUCCACUUUCAUGACCAUUUGACUGGCACUGCAUGCAUUUAUUGUUGACCUACAGACAAGGGAUUCAAAGCAAUACAUUUUGCCAGAAGUGAUUAUUUGCACAUUCAGCUUUUUAGUUUCUUAUCUCAAUCAAUCUGCAGGCAAAAAUCAUUGCAUACAACACAAAUAUAAUGAUGUGGACAUCAACUGAUAUCUUGUUUUUUUUAAAGAAAUACAAUGGUUUACAUAGGUUAUGAUAAUUAUGGUUAGGUAAAAAUAAUACUAUAUACAAAUUAGCAUAAUAUAUCUAACCCAGAAUAAGAACAUCUAUACAAAGUGAGAGGUGCAACUUUAAAUAAUAACAACAUAGUGUUGAUAUAUGCUAAUUUGUAGAUGUAUAUGUAGUUUUCUGUAUAAUUGUAUUAAUAUAUUCUAUAUUGUUAUUAAUAUUUUUUGUAUAUACUUUGUUAUGACCAAAUGCAUCUGAUUGGUUUAAUUUUUGUCACAUGAUCAUAAAAGCUCGUGUAAUUUUCCAGACCCCGCAACAAACUUCCCGACGAAGGGCCUUCGCUCGAAACAUUGUCCUUGUAUUUUUCAGGUAGUUACAUCCCUACCAAACAGGGGCGAAACUUGAGUUGGGGGGGGGGGUGUUCAGGGGGUGGUCCAGAAAAAUUUUCCACCCCCUCACCACCCACCCACCCCUGUUCGCCAGCAUUUUGGGGAAACAGUGGCCAGAAAUG